CGUCACACACCAACGUCUCUCUCUCUCUCUCUCUCUCUCUCUCUCUCAUGCGGAGGACGAACAGAGCUGAAACAAACCCUUUGCGUGUUUUCCCGCCGCUGAAGACGGUGGCCAAGGCCGGAAUCACGUGUUUGUACGUUACUGAUUUUAAUUUGGGGUGGGUUUGUUCGAGCUUGGGGACAGGUGCGGCCAUGGUGGUUGAGGGCGUUCCAGAGGAGGGUUUCGUGGGUUAGCCGAAGACGAGGAAGUUGCAGUUGGGGCGGCGGCGGAGGGCGGCGGCGAAUGGGCAGUUGUCGUUCGUGAGGCGUAGUGGAGGAGGGCGUCGAAGAUGGGUUUGGGUAAGGAGGUGCCGUCGGCGACGGCCGUGGUGGUUUCUGUUUAUUGGGACUCUGAUGUUUCUGUUUCUGGGUUGUGUUAAUGGCGCGGAUUUGUAAACAGCAAUAACGGGUUGACAAGGGUUCUUUUUCCAUUCCAUCACUCUAAUCUUGUUGAAUUCUUGAUCUGAGAGAAAAUCAGAGAUGGGUUUUGUGAGUACUGUGAUGGGUUUUUUUCGGAUUUGUCUUGUUGGUCAAGGGACCUCGGUUCCAUCAAGAGAAUUCAAUUCAGUCAAUUACCGCCUAAAGAAAAAACCACGCAAUGUAUACACUACUUCAUCCAAGCCGUGUAUCGUCACCAAAAUAGCGCAGCACGUGGAAGGUUCAACGCUCCAUUCCUGUUUCCUGGGCAAGCCUGGGGAUUCUCAAUCGGUGAUUCUUUAUCGGUAGAAGAUAGUUUUGGGUUGAAUAGAUGUUCUUGUUCGCCACAAUACGAAUACUAAUUCAGAAGUACAAUUCAACUGUUGUAGCAUCUGUUGCUGUCCUUGAGAGACGCUUAUUGCUCCAUUUAUGUGUUCCCAAGGCUGUACGAACUGGGGUGCUAUCAUGUUGUCGCUAUUGACAUUGAUCCUCAAAAAGUGGAAAUGGCAUUAAGUAACGCAAAAGUCUACGGCAUGGAAGAUUAUGUUGAUUUCAUUGUUGGAGACUUUAUCCAACUUGCUCCUUCUCUAAAGGGGCACGCAGUAUUUCUCUCUCCACCAUGGGGAGGUCCGUCAUAUAAAGCAACGAACAAUUUUACCCUUGAUUUAUUGAAGCCAAAAGAUGGGUACGUGCUGAUGCCCAUACGCUAUCUUCACAAUGGAGCCUGAGUAAAACGAUACACUGUCCUUCAUUUGUGCUGUAUAUUUAGACUGCUAAUAAAGGAUAAAUUAGGGAAGUGGAACAGAGACCAAGGGCGUUGGCGCCUUAGGAACAUCUGGCAUUUAGACUAAACUGAUUCAAAAUGAAAGAAAUUAAUCUUGGGGAUGGACUAGGAGAAAGGCCAUGCGGCAACUUAUGUGGAAUGAUAAGAUCCAUUGCUUUUAGUUUAUGUAGGAUGAAGCCAUCAGUUGGGACUUAGGAGAUUGCCAUAUGUUUUAUUAAUUGAAGGGGUGUGGAUUGAGAGAAAAAUACGCAGAUAAGUUGAGUUGGGGAAGAGAGAGAGAGAGGACUUAGGAGAUUGCCAUAUGUUUUAUUAAUUGAAGGGGUGUGGAUUGAGAGAAAAUACGCAGACAAGUCGAGUUGGGGAAGCGAUUGAAGUGGGGCAGAGAGAGGAGUUAAGGACUUACGGGUAUAACUACUUUACCACUGAGUAUUUGAUAUCUUGUUCAACAGCUGACAAAGACAAGGAAUUCUUUGAAGAUAACCUGUUGGUCCAAGGAAUUCUUUGAAGAUAAGCUGUUGUCCAGUGCAUUAGCUAAUUUGCACGACCAGAUGAAGACUUUGUCUUUGAAAUUAGAGUCGUUAGAAGAAACUGUUAGAAAUUGUAAGUUAUUCAUGUUUUGUUGUUUCACAAGAAAUUUCAUAUACAUUUCGAAAAUAAGGAAGCUGGUGAGGUGGAAGCUUAUCAUUUUUCAGUAGGAACCAAAGAUUUCUGCUCUGUACUUCUUUAAUUCAUGGUUAAUAUGUGUUUGAGUUAUGAAUGUAAGCGAAAAAGAGUUGAAAGAACUCAGCAUUGAGAAAGAUGAGGCGGAGAAAUCCUUUAGAAACGAACAGUGCAAAGCUGCCAAUCUUAUCAACGAAAAAGCGUGUUGAAAAGAGAAGUUUACUGUUGGAAAUUAAUCAAUGUGGGUGAAAAAAGAACGCGAUAAAGGAUUCAAACUAUUGCAUCUUGCCUCAAGUUGGUUAAGGAGAAGAAAGACCUUGGUUCUCAGUGUGUUUAAAAAUAAUAUGAUCAACCCCACAAUAUGACUUUGCAUGUUACACAGAGACAAAUGCACUUCAAGUGGUGAAUAAGGAGUUAGACAAUACGAUCAUUGAACUGCGAAAAAGUCAAGAAUUUGCAAUGUUACAGCAUGCGAGGAAUGCCUUUAGCAGAGGAGAGAAUUCGGAGCAAGACUCGUUAUUGAAAAUUUCAGCAUUGGAAUCUGAGAGCAAAGAUUCUACAGAAAAACUACAGGAAGAGGCGGAGGAAGUGGAAAGAUUACAAGAAGAAGUUGAUAAGCAUGAGCAGCAUCGAGAUUCACUGGAGAUGCAAGUUUGCCAACUUCAAACUAUUCUAGAGGAGAAGGAACAACUUGUUCUGCGAUCAAAGGACAGAGAGAAAGAGUUGGAAGAUCAAAAAACAGAGCUUCAGGCGGCACUGGUAGAUGCUGAAAGUAAACUUUCUGAAGCAAGAUGCAUUAGGAUUCGAUGCUUGAAAGUAAGCAAUUAGAAUUGUCAAGACAUUUGAAAGAACUAUCUCAGAGAAAUGAUCAGGCCAUUAAUGAUAUCCGGAGGAAGUUUGAGGUUGAGAAACCGUUGAGAAAGAAAAGGCUGAUAAAGCUGUUCAAGAAUUGGAAAGAAAUUGUGACCAAAAGCUUGCAGAACACAAGGAGGAAUCCCUGUUGUAUUUGAUGCAUAUACAGGAGGAACAUGCUGCUUUGGUAUGUAUCCAACUGCAAUGCUGGUUAAAUGUAAAUGGUUGAUCAUUAUCUUCUAUCUACUGUUUUAGCUUUUGACAGAUUCAAAUAGUUUCAUAGACGAUUCAAGCUACAGUUAAAUGGCACUAUUAAUCAUUGUACGUCUUAUUGUUUACGAGAUUAAAUGUCAGAAGUUUUGUGUUUUAGAUCUUUUAGAAUUUCAACUUGUUCCAAUGCUUCCAAAAGUUAUUCUUCUUGUCACAAAAUCACUCUUUUUCUUUCUCUAAUUGCCUCAAACAUGUAUUCCAAGAGAUGGUAUAUAAAUUCCUUCUUCCUUUUAGCAUUGCUUAUACCAAGUGAAGCCAUGGUUUUGUAUAUCAGAACAUACAUGAGCUUAGUGUUUACAUACUGUCAGUUUAUCACCUCUAUAUCAGCCAGAAAACAUUAAUGAUUUUGACGGGACAUUUUUGAUGUUUUUGAGCUCGGUAUUGCUCAAAAGUUGUUUCUAAGAACUUUUGAACAAAAUUUUGCUGUUACGUACAGAAGUUUGACUUUUGUAAUAUCCAUUUGGUAGAUCACCCGUAUCCAGUAUGAGCAUAGUACAAAGGAAUUGAACCUUAAAUCCAACCACAAUGAUGAGCUUGUUAGCGCAUGUUUUUGAUGAUGAGAUUUUUAAUGAGUUAUUACACAAAAUGAAUACAUGAUAUUGCUAAACUCGUUGUAUGUAAAAGUGUGGUUCAAAGGCUUUCAGAAUUUCGGAAUUGGAUCUGAUGCAGUGUCCAGAUCUCACGUUUGGACGUCAUCAGGUUCUGGUUCUUAGUUUUGGAUCUCAUGGACUUCAUCAGAAUUGGACCUCACCAAGUUCUGGUCCUUACUUUUGGAUCUCAUGGUGUCGUCCGUUUAUGCAGUCCAGACUUACCUGUCCUCUGUUUUUACUCUGAUGGAUCUCACUUUUGGAUCUUAAAGUGAAGUCCAAUAUUGAGGACCAGUUUUACAUUACUCUGUUCUCACCCAACUCUCUCUCUCCUACUUUUCACAUGGGUCCAAAUCUUUUAACUUUGUUUUUUGGGCUAUUUAAUGACUCUUAAGACUUUGUAUAUCAUCUGAGAUUUGGUGUGGACAAAUCUUUUUUGUUGGAUUAACCUUGUUUCACAGGUAUCAACCUUGAGUCGUUCAAGUUGAAAAAGGGGAACAGAGCAUUUAUUUUGAGAACGUUGAAGCUGUCUUUUAGAAGAUUUACCAAGAUUUGAUUUUGGCUAUAUGUCAAGAAGUCUUCUCCAGGGAUUGAUACUAAGAGAGAUACGCACCACGUAUUCAAUAUUCAAAAGCACUCAUUCAAAAUAUUCAAGUCUGAGAUUUUCACUGUAGAUUACCUUCUUCAGACGUUCAAGAGAGUUUAGCUUCCACCGUAGUAUUCUUAUAUACUCUUUGUAGUGUUGAGCCACACUUGUAUUUUUCAUACAAAGGACUACACUUAUUAUCCCACCUUGUGAGUGAGAGAAUCCAAUCCACUGUGUUUUUCAGUUAGGAUUUUGUUCCUCUAAAAAGUGUGGGUUGCAAAACACAAGGAUUCCUUUAGUGGUGUAUCUGGUCUGCGUGUACCAGAGAGAUUUGAGAUUGUCGUGAAAAAGCUUUGUUUGUGAAGGAGAGUUGGCUCCUGUGAAACCAAUAGUGUUGUACGUACAUAAGACAUAGUGGAUGCCAAUGAUAGUUCAAGGGAACUUCGUUGAAGAGUGGACUAAGCAGUUAGCUGAACCACUAUAAAAAUCUCUUGUCUCAUAUUCUUUUGCUCUUCAGUACUUCAUUUCAUUAUUAUUUCUAACAAUUUCUAUUGAAGGCAGAAAAAUUAGGUUUCAACCUAUUCACCCCCCUCUAGGUUGCUUUAUCAAUUGGUAUCAGAGCGAGGAGCCUUCAUUUAAAGGGUAUAACAACCUGAAGGAGAUCCUAUGGCAACCAACAGUAUGAAUCAGAUGGAGGAGGGAGCUGGAACUGGGAGACCACCACUAUUUAGCGGGACUCACUACAGCUAUUGGAAAAGUAGAAUGAAGAUCUUUAUUGAAUCCAUUGAGUUCGAUCUCUAUGGACAAUAGUAGAAGAAGGAUACACAAUGCUAACCGUUACAAAUGAAGGUAUCACUACUGAGAAACCCAAAUCUAAGUGGAGUAAUGAUGAAAAGAAUAAAUAUACUUUGAAUUCGAGAGCUAUGAAUGCUUUGUUUUGUGGGCUUAGUCCCGAUGAACAAACCAAGGUUUCUGUUUGUAAAACUGCCAAAGAAAUUUGGAAGACUUUGGAAGUCACCAAUGAAGGUACUAGUCAGGUGAAAGAUUAUAAAAUUAGUACACUUUUGCACAAGUAUGAGAUGUUUAAAAUGAAACCUGAUGAAUCCAUAUUGAAAUGUAUACUCGUUUACAAAUAUUGUGAAUGGACUAACAUCACUUGGUCGAUGGUCGAGAAACUCCCUCUAUGGAGAUAGUGAGAAAGAUUUUGCAGGCUCUACCGGCCAAGAAAUGGAGACCUAAGGUCACAACAAUAGAAGAAGCAAAAGACCUCAAGACUCUCUAGGUCGAGCAAUUAAUUGGAUCACUCAUUACUCAUGAAAUGGUACUAACAGAGGAGGAAGAUGAGAAGCCCAAAAAAGGAAUUGCACUGCAAGCUACAAGGAUGAAGAAUCUGAAGAAGACGAAGAAAUGACGCUUCUAACCCGCAGAUUCAAAAAAUUCAUAAAAAGAAAAGAAGUUAGGAGAACAGAUCAAGGAGAUAGAGAAAGAAAACCCAACAACAGAGAAGAGGAGAGAAGGUGCUUUGACUGUGAUAAAGUUGGACAUAUAGCCGCCAACUGUCAAGUAGAACAAAAUAAAGGAAAGAAGGCCUUUGCUGCUACUUGGGAUGACGAGGAUGAUGAGUUGGAUAUCUCCGACUCCGAGGUAAACGAAUUUGGAUUUAUUGCUUCUAUUGAUAAUGAGCAAAAUGAUUACUUAGAUGAGCAUGUAACUGAUGGUGAUAUUUACACGGCCUUUGAAAGUUUGUAUAAUGAAUAAAAAAAUAUCAAUUUAAAAAAUAGUCACCUCAAAAAGAAAAUUGUCUCUCUUGAAGAAGAAAAUAGCAUUUUAAUCAACAAAAUCUCUAGCCUUGAAAAAGAUUUGAAACAAAAGAACAUUGAUUUGGAAAGAUUUAACUUCAGUUCAAAAGAUUUGACUACUCUUCUUGGAAAUCAAAGGUUGUUUGGAGAUCGAAGUGGCAUCGGGUAUAAUACAUCUUUUGUGACUAAUUUAGUAAAGAAGAGAAUUUCGAAUUGUUUUACUCCUAGAGAAUCGCUUCGUAAUGUCGUGCUAUUUUUGUUUUGAUAAAGGUCACAUUCAAAUAAACUGUCCCAAAAGGAGAACUAAUGUUCAAGGACCCAAAUUAAGAUGGGUACCAAAAGGAAGAUGUUAUUUUGCAGGAACUAUGGGAUUAAAAGUAAACAUUUGCGAUUCCAUGUGGUACUUGGACAGUGGGUGCUCUAGACACGACUGGAGGAAAGGAAAGAUUCUCACUCCUAUCUAAGCACAAUGGAGGGAUUGUGACUUUUGGAGACAACAGGAAAGGUGAAAUAGUAGGAAAAGGUACGAUUGGUAAUCCUAAUAGUUCUUGUAUUGAAAAUGUGUAUUUAGUUGAUGGUUUGAAACAUAGCCUUCUUAGUAUUAGCCAACUUUGUGACAAGGGAAACUGAGGCCUCUUUUACUCAAAUCACUGUGAAGUACAAGACAUAAACACUAAUGAGAUUGUUUUCACUGGAAAAAGAACUAACAACACUUAUGUUGUCAAAAUGAGUGAGAUUUCAAAAAAUAGUGUUAAAUGUCUUGCUAAGUUUUGAAAAUGAAAGUUGGCUUUGGCAUAGAAGACUAGGACAUGCCAACAUGAAACUCUUAAAACAGCUUUCUCAAAAGGACCUUGUCAAGGGAAUUCCUAAGCUGGAUUUUUCAAAAGAUAGAGUUUGUGAAGCAUGUCAGUUAGGGAAACAAGUUAAACGCUCUUUUAAAUCUGUCAAUAUUGUUUCCACCUCUAAACCAUUAGAACUAAUUCACAUGGAUUUGGUUGGGCCCACAAGAACUACUAGCAUUAGCGGUAAAAAAUAUUUUUUGACUAUGGUAGAUGAUUUUUCACGUUUUACUUGGGUAAGUUUUCUUACUCAUAUAAAUGAAGCUUUUAACCACUUUGUGAAGAUCAUUGCUAGAAUUCAAAAAGAACAGGGACGUGAAAUUCUCAAGAUAAGAAGUGAUCAUGGAAGAGAGUUUGACUACUCAGAGUUUGAAAACUAUUGUGACAAAAAGGGAAUACAACACCGGUUCUCUGCUCCAAGGAUUCCACAACAAAAUGGAGUAGCGGAAAGAAAAAAUAGAUCACUUCAAGAUAUGGCCAGGACCAUGCUCAAGGACAAAGGUCUGUCUUUUUACUUUUGGGCCGAAGCGGUAAACUCAGCAUGUUACAUAGGUAAUCAUGUUUUCUUAAGAUCUAUACUUCAUAAAACUGCCUAUGAAUUAUGGUAUGGUAGAAAGCCUAAUAUUUCUUAUUUUAGAGCUUUUGGAUGCAAAUGUUACAUUUUAAAUACCAAUGACAAUAUAGGAAAAUUUGAUUCUAGAUCUGAUAUUGGCAUUUUCCUUGGUUAUUCUUCAUCUAGUAGAGCAUAUAGGGUUUUCAAUAAAAGAACUCUAGUUGUUGAAGAAUCUGCAAAUGUCACAUUUGAUGAAAUUGGUGAAGAAAAUCAUGGCAUGCAUAAUAUAGAUAGAUGAUGAUAUCUUUCCUACUGUGAUGCAUGAUAAUAAUAAUAAUAAAAGUGAGAAGUGCCCCAGAUUACUAUUGAAUCAUCCUAGUGAACAAAUCAUUGGGGACCCCCAAUCUGGAAUUACCACUAGAUCACAUGCUAAUAUUUGUUCGCAUCUUGCUUUUGUUUCUCAAAUUGAACCAAAGAAUUUUGAACAAGCUGAAAAAGAUGAAUCUUGUAUGCUAGCUAUGCAAGAAGAGUUAAAUCAGUUUGACAGAAAAUAAAGUAUGGCAUUUAGUUCCUAGACCAGUUGAUCACCCUAUUAUUGGCACUAAAUGGAUCUUCAAAAACAAGUCGGAUGACAAAGGUAUUAUCACUAAAAAUAAGGCUAGGCUUGUUGCUCAAGGAUAUAAUCAAGAGGAAGGAAUAGAUUAUGAGGAAACAUUUGCACCUGUUGCACGAUUAGAAUCUAAUCGCAUGUUGUUAGCCUUUGCACGUUACAAGAACUUUUCCUUAUAUCAAAUGGAUGUCAAAAGUGCUUUCUUGAAUGACUAUGUGAAUGAGGAGGUGUAUGUUGAACAACCACCUGGUUUUUCUGAUUCUCAUUAUCCUGAUCAUGUUUUUAGACUUGUUAAAGCCUUGUAUGGACUCAAACAAGCCCCUAGAGCUUGGUAUGAAAGGCUUAGUGGUUAUCUUAUGCAAAAUGGAUUUACUAGUGGCCUUGCGGAUUCCACGUUAUUUAUUAAAAAAGGAAAAGAUGAUAUACUGCUUGUUCAAAUUUAUGUUGAUGAUAUUAUCUUUGGAUCUACUAACAAUCACUUGUGUGAAGAAUUUGCAAAGAUUAUGCAGACUGAGUUUGAAAUGAGCAUGAUAGGGGAGUUGAAGUUCUUUCUAGGACUUCAAAUCAAGCAAACUGAUGGUGGUAUAUUCAUCAAUCAAGCUAAGUAUACCAAAGAACUUCUAAAGAAAUAUGGUAUGACUGAUUGCAAAGAAAAGAAAAUCCCAAUGGAACAAGCUGUCAAGCUGGAAAAGAUGAAUCAGGUAAAAGUGUUGAUAAAAAGACCUAUUGAGGUAUGAUUGGAGGCUUACUCUAUCUAAUGGCUAGUAGACCUGAUAUUUUAUUAAGUGUUGGAAUUUGCGCUUGAUUUCAAGAAAAUCCUAAAGAAUCGCACUUGAAAGCUGUUAAGAAUAUCUUGAAAUAUCUAAGAGGUGCUAUUGAUUUGGGAUUAUGGUUUUCUAAAGAUACUACGUUCGAUAUUAUUGCAUACACUGAUCCGGACUUUGCAGGUAGUAAAACUGACCGCAAAAGCACUAGCUGUACCUGUUUCUUUGCAGGACAUUGCUUAGUGGCGUGGAUGAGUAAAAAACAAAAUUCAAUUCCAUCUCACUGUCCACUGCAGAAGCUGAAUAUAUAGCCGCCGGAAGCUGUUGCACGCAAAUUUUGUGGAUGAAACAAGUCUUGAAAGACUAUGGAAUUGAUGUUGGGACAGUUCCAAUUCUUUGCGACAACACAAGUGCAAUUAACGUUUCAAAAAAUUUGGUCAUGCAUUCCCGAACCAAGCAUAUAGAUAUUCGGCACCACUUCUUGCGUGAACAGGUAUCUCAUGGUACAGUAAAAUUAGAAUAUAUUCGUACUGACGAGCAAUUGGCAGGUAUAUUUAUGAAGCCGCUCGGCGAGGAGCAAUUUAACAAGCUUCGCAGACAAUUGGGAAUCGGAGACCUUCCAACCCAAUAGCACAUUUCUGUAUCAACCUUGAGCUGUUCAAAGUUGAAAAAGGGGAACAGAUCAUUUAUUUUGAGAAUGUUGAAGCUGUCUUUUAGAAGAUUUACCAAGAUUUGAUUUUGGCUAUAUAUCAAGAAGUCUUCUCCAGGGAUUGAUACUAAGAGAGAUACGCACCACGUAUUCAAUAUUCAAAAGCACUCGUUCAAAAUAUUCAAGUCUGAGAUUUUCACUGUAGAUUACCUUCUUCAGAUGUUCAAAAGUGUUGCGCUUCCACUGUAGUAUUCUUAUAUACUCUUUGUAGUGUUGAGCCACACUUGUAUUUUUCAUACAGAGCACUACACUUAUUAUCUCACCUUGUGAGUGAGAGAACCCAAUCCACUGUGUUUUUCAGUUAGGAUUUUGUUCCUCUAAAAAGUGUGGGUUGCAAAACACAAGGAUUCCUUGAGUGGUGUUUCUGGUCUGUGUGUACGAGAGAGAUUUGAGCUUGUCGUGAGAAAGCUUUGUUUGUGAAGGAGAGUUGGCUCCUGUGAAACCAAUAGUGUUGUACUUACUGAAGACAUAGUGGACACCAGUGAUAGUUCAAGGGAACUUCAUUGAACAGUGGACUAAGCAGUUAGCUGAACCACUAUAAAAAUCUCGUCUCAUAUUCUUUUGCUCUUCAGUACUUCAUUUCAUUAUUAUUUCUAACAAUUUCUAUUGAAGGCAGAAAAAAUUAGGUUUCAACCUAUUCACCCCCUCUAGGUUGCUUUAUCAGAGCUAAAACGUGUUCAACUUCAAGCUGAAAAUGAGUAGAGAGAGGUAUAUGUUGCUGCUGCAGUCUUGGCUAUUCCUGCCAAGAUCUGAAUCAAUUCUCAUGCCAGGCUUGGAGUUCUAAUCCAAAUUUUGGUGUCCUUCUCCCACGCCAGAGUUUGGAAAUAUUCUCCAACUUUUGGCAUGCCUCUGAGUCAGAUGCUGAUCCUCGAGCUGUUUUGUGCCUGUGGAUGUUCUUUUGGAUGGCAAUUCUGUGCUGGUUUGGACUAUCCAUGUCUGUCAUGGAACCAAUUCCCCCCCAUUUUUUAGGCCAGGAUGGAGCCCUCCCCAAUUCCUGCUACUUAAAUGCUCAAAUUCAACUAGACCCUAUCACUGAUUUUGCUGACGGAUUGGAUAUUCAUCACUGAUUAAUGCUCCUGGAUUUAUCUUUUGGGAUCUUAUAUGCUUCAUGCCUCCAACCACUAUGUCUUUAAGCCAUGUAGGAUUCCUCUUAACUCCUGGAUUAAAACUUUAUAUCAGAAAGUUCAAGAUUUGAGAAUAAAAUGUAAGAAUUGUUAUUGAAAAUUUCAGCAUUGGAAUCUGAGAGCAAAGAUUCUGCAGAAAAACUACGGGAAGAGAUACAGAAAAUGUCGGAGGAAGUGGAAAGAUUACCAGAAGAAGUUGAUAAGCACGAGCAGCAUCGAGAUUCACUGGAGAAGCAAGUUGGCCAACUUCAAACUAUUCUAGAGGAGAAGGAACAGCUUGUUCUGCGAUCAAAGGACAGAGAGAGAGUUGGUAGAGCAAAAAACAGAGGUUUCCAAGAUUAGAAUGACCGCAUACUGAAAUAAUUUUUACCUCUAGCUCAGUGUACUGAAUAAAUUUACCU